CUCAUGUUUUGCUUCUUAUAGAAAUUGCAUUGCAUUGGGUAUCAGGUCUGAGUUUCCCAUUGCCUCAUGUGUAAAAUUUUUUGAAAUGAUGAAAGACCAGGCAAAUUUGAUGGUCCACUGAGGGUUUUGCCUCACCAGAAGGGCUUAUAGACUUAAUCAGUAUGAACCUUACUAACAAAACUCAUAAGGAGCCUUCCAAGAGGCUGGCCCUGUGCAGCGCUUGGGUAGGCCCAGGCUCUAUCCUCAUCCCUCUGGCUCACCAUUCACCUGGGGGCUGCUGAGGCACUCAGGCACUGGUUUUCUCACUUCCUCCUGUG
rnacentral:lncRNA from 1 species